rnacentral:rRNA from 1 species
UGGGGAAUAUUGCACAAUGGGCGCAAGCCUGAUGCAGCGACGCCGCGUGAGGGAUGGAGGCCUUCGGGUUGUAAACCUCUUUCGCCAGUGAAGCAGGCCAUCUUCUUUGUGGGGUGGUUGACGGUAGCUGGAUAAGAAGCGCCGGCUAACUACGUGCCAGCAGCCGCGGUAAUACGUAGGGCGCGAGCGUUGUCCGGAAUUAUUGGGCGUAAAGAGCUCGUAGGCGGCUGGUCGCGUCUGUCGUGAAAUCCCCUGGCUUAACUGGGGGCUUGCGGUGGGUACGGGCCGGCUUGAGUGCGGUAGGGGAGACUGGAAUUCCUGGUGUAGCGGUGGAAUGCGCAGAUAUCAGGAGGACCACCGGUGGCGAAGGCGGGUCUCUGGGCCGUUACUGACGCUGAGGAGCGAAAGCGUGGGGAGCGAACAGG